rfam:Mus musculus chromosome 11, GRC primary reference assembly.
CCCCUCGGCAAUGAGCAAAGAGGCACCUUGGUGGCCGUGGUGUUCUUAUCUCAGUCAGAGGCAGAGCAGAUGGCAAUCCUCUGUUCAUCCUAGCUUGAUGUCUGGCUUGGUGGCCAAAGCUGUUUUAUGCCUAGGACACAUAA